GUGAGGAAUAUUGGUCAAUGGGCGGGAGCCUGAACCAACCAAGUCGCGUGAAGGAAGAAGGAUCUAUGGUUCGUAAACUUCUUUUGCAGGGGAAUAAAGUGCAGGACGUGUCCUGUUUUGUAUGUACCCUGAGAAUAAGGAUCGGCUAACUCCGUGCCAGCAGCCGCGGUAAUACGGAGGAUCCGAGCGUUAUCCGGAUUUAUUGGGUUUAAAGGGUGCGUAGGUGGUUUGAUAAGUCAGCGGUGAAAGUUUGCAGCUUAACUGUAAAAAUGCCGUUGAAACUGUCGGACUUGAGUGUAAAUGAGGUAGGCGGAAUGCGUGGUGUAGCGGUGAAAUGCAUAGAUAUCACGCAGAACUCCGAUUGCGAAGGCAGCUUACUAAGCUACAACUGACACUGAAGCACGAAAGCGUGGGGAUCAAACAGGAUUAGAUACCCUGGUAGUCC
rnacentral:rRNA from 1 species